GACGGUAUGAUCUCAACAUGCCUGAGCUGACCUGCGAGGGAUGCCAGGCAACUUGGACUGCAGGACUUGAUGACCUGAUAAAAAGUGGAUACUGACCUGCCCCCCUUCAUUUUGUAACAAUUUAUGAGACGGACCUGUUUUAUACGUUUGAAGACAUGAAGAUGGAAUCACCCGGGAUGUCUUUUCAGGCAUAUCUAAGAAUGCUUGAGAAGCGGACUGCUCGCUUUGGCCGUGUAAGUAUUUCUUUUUUCAUUCUGCAAGAUCAUGAAUAUGUUUGUGUCUUGAAAUGGAAAGGUCUUUGUUUAAAAAAAUGUUUUGUGCUUUUUCUUUUUUACAUAGACUGGGAAGAUCUCAUCAGACAGCUUCCAAAAAAGCUUUUUUGAAUGGGCUGCUGUACAAUAUGAGGUUGACUCCACCUGCAAGGAGGAGAAAUUCAUCUGUCCUGCCUGUGCCCCAGCAAUGCUUUCUGUCUCGGUGGAUGGAAACCGCAAGCAUUACCGCUUCAAAAGUACUGCAAGGUAUACAAUAAUGUACACCCACACUGUUUAAAUGGCAAAAUAGAUAGUUAUGUUUUAUACAACAAGUAACCUUUCGAUGUAUGACAUGUUAAAAAGAUAGUUAAGGUGUUUUGAAGUGGGGUUGUAUGAGGUACUUAUCCAUGGUCAGUCUGUUACCUACAGCAGACAAUGGUCACCGCCACCCAUCCCCUGCAUGUAUUGUGGAGAAGCAGAAAAAUGUGUUUUAGCCACAUAUAAAAGGCCCACCUGAAAAAAACCCAAUAUCCAGUAUUGUAGUUGGGGUUAGAUGUAGAAAUAUGCAAGUUCUACAGUUGAGACAAUGUAGUGCCAAGGAAAAGGGCUGUCUGAACACUGUGUACUGUAGGUAACACACUUACUAUGGAUAAGUACCUUAUACCAUCCCACUUCAGAGUACUCAACUAUCCUUUUAAACAUGGAAGCCUUUUUAUUUCUUGUUGUUUUUUUAGAUCUCAGGUGCGGGCCAUCUUUGACGGUGUCUUCAUUGCAAAAGAUGACGAUGUGACCAGAUUUGUGGAUCACAUCCACAGCAAAAAUAAACAUGUCACUGGAAGGAGCAAUUGUGGUGGGGAGUGGUCAGCUGCCAGAGAGACCUCCCAAAGAUCAAGCAGUAAGGUGGAUGAGGAAGGACUGGAGCUGGCAGUGUGCAGGCAUGGUGUCUUGCUGGCUGUCCUUAAUAUGUUUAGGGGUGAAAUAUUUGCAUACCCUAUGUUUUUGCAGCAGCUGCUGGCAAAUAUUGGUCAUACCUGCAAAGAAUAAGCACCAACUGUCCUGAGCUCGAGGUCCUUCCUGUCGGUUGUACAUGCUAAAGCGCAUGACUUCAAAUGUGAGGUUAGUAUAAUUCAGUACAUUCUAUCAAAUGACUUGCAAUCCUAUAAAUGAUGCAUAUAGAUGUGUAAUGUUUAACUAUCACUUAACAGAUUAUUUAACAUUUGUAUUGUUAUAGUUAUUGUUGUUGAUGUGAACAGCCCUUAACUGACACAUCUACUUUUGUUAAGGAUAUUAUUUUGCACCUGUCUGUGUAUGUUUGUUUGUAAGCAAGAUUACUCAUGAGGUUUACCACUAAUGUACACAUAACUUGGUGGAAGGGUGACAGUUAGAUUUUUGAUUAGGCUUUAAUUGAAUUAAAAGUGACUGUUGGGCAUUGCUUGAGGUCUCUGCUGUACUAAAUUCCCUUGAUGUUUCUGUUUGGGUCCCUCUCUCCAGGUGAAAUGGAGUGGCACAAACCAAGAAGGUGCUGGUAAAACACUAGGGGAGGAAGUAGAGCAAUGUAAUGCUUUCCUCUCCAGGAUAUCAGUCACCACAAAGCAUAUGUCAAAAGCAGGUGAUAUAUAAUUGUACCUCUGUAUACAGAAUAAAAGACAUUUAUGUUACUACAAGUGAAUCUUUACAGAACUCAUCUCUGUGUACUUGCAGGACACAAUGACAUGCUGACACUCCUGGCCAUAAGAUGGAACCAGCAGAAAUGUCCAAACCUGGCUCCUGGACUUUCCCAGAGAUACCAUAAGGUAAAUAGAAACAAUAUUAUUUUGCAGCAAUGGCACAGUGUAGGUCAAGGAAACACAGUUUUGUGCACAUAGGCUUGUGAUACAUGAUAGUUACAACAUUUGCAUGAUUUGAGUUGCAUUUGUACACUGUGUA
rnacentral:lncRNA from 15 species